rnacentral:rRNA from 1 species
GAGUUUGAUCCUGGCUCAGAACGAACGCUGGCGGCAGGCUUAACACAUGCAAGUCGAGCGCCCCGCAAGGGGAGCGGCAGACGGGUGAGUAACGCGUGGGAACAUGCCCUUCGGUUCGGAAUAACUCAGGGAAACUUGAGCUAAUACCGGAUACGUCCGUAAGGAGAAAGAUUUAUUGCCGAAGGAUUGGCCCGCGUCCGAUUAGCUAGUUGGUGAGGUAACGGCUCACCAAGGCGACGAUCGGUAGCUGGUCUGAGAGGAUGAUCAGCCACACUGGGACUGAGACACGGCCCAGACUCCUACGGGAGGCAGCAGUGGGGAAUAUUGGACAAUGGGCGCAAGCCUGAUCCAGCCAUGCCGCGUGAGUGAUGAAGGCCCUAGGGUUGUAAAGCUCUUUCGGCGGGGACGAUAAUGACGGUACCCGCAGAAGAAGCCCCGGCUAACUUCGUGCCAGCAGCCGCGGUAAUACGAAGGGGGCUAGCGUUGUUCGGAAUCACUGGGCGUAAAGCGCACGUAGGCGGACCGUUAAGUCGGAGGUGAAAGCCUGGGGCUCAACCCCAGAACUGCCUUCGAUACUGGCGGUCUUGAGUGUGGUAGAGGUUGGUGGAACUCCGAGUGUAGAGGUGAAAUUCGUAGAUAUUCGGAAGAACACCAGUGGCGAAGGCGGCCAACUGGACCAUUACUGACGCUGAUGUGCGAAAGCGUGGGUAGCAAACAGGAUUAGAUACCCUGGUAGUCCACGCCGUAAACGAUGAGAGCUAGCCGUUGGCCUGCAUGCAGGUCAGUGGCGCAGCUAACGCGUUAAGCUCUCCGCCUGGGGAGUACGGUCGCAAGAUUAAAACUCAAAGGAAUUGACGG